rnacentral:rRNA from 1 species
CCCUGGCAGUCAGAGGCGAUGAAGGACGUGCUAAUCUGCGAUAAGCGUCGGUAAGGUGAUAUGAACCGUUAUAACCGGCGAUUUCCGAAUGGGGAAACCCAGUGUGUUUCGACACACUAUCAUUAACUGAAUCCAUAGGUUAAUGAGGCGAACCGGGGGAACUGAAACAUCUAAGUACCCCGAGGAAAAGAAAUCAACCGAGAUUCCCCCAG